rnacentral:ribozyme from 1 species
AUUUAAUGGACCACCAAAGAUACAAAUGGAUGGCUGUUUUUAGAGACUUCCGAAACUGCUACUGAAGACUUCCUCUUCUUUUUGAGAAGAAAGAAGUGGUAUUAGAAGAAGAAUAAAAAGAAAACAGAAAAGAGAAAUUUUAGAGGGAAGGGUGUCAAAAAUUGUUGGGAUUUAU